UGAGGAAUAUUGGUCAAUGGUCGCAAGACUGAACCAGCCAUGCCGCGUGCAGGAAGACGGUCCUAUGGAUUGUAAACUGCUUUUAUACAGGAAGAAACCCUCCUACGUGUGGGAGCUUUACGGUACUGUAGGAAUAAGGAUCGGC
rnacentral:rRNA from 1 species